rnacentral:rRNA from 1 species
CGCAACCCUUGUCCUUAGUUACCAGCACGUUAUGUGGGCACUCUAAGGAGACUGCCGGUGCAAACCGGAGGAAGUGGGGAUGACGUCAAGUCAUCAUGGCCCUUACGGCCUGGGCUACACACGUGCUACAAUGGUCGGUACAAAGGGUUGCCAAGCCGCGAGGUGGAGCUAAUCCCAUAAAACCGAUCGUAGUCCGGAUCGCAGUCUGCAACUCGACUGCGUGAAGUCGGAAUCGCUAGUAAUCGUGAAUCAGAAUGUCACGGUGAAUACGUUCCCGGGCCUU